AUUUAAUAACAGCUGUUGCUGCUGAGAGUUGGUACAAUUUUCUAAAAGGAAUUUUCCAUCUCUGAAAGUAUCCUUUCAGAAUUCUAAAGCCGGCCCUUAUUUGACUGUGUAUUUAAUAACUGCUGUUGCUGCUGCUGCGAGUUGGUACAAUUUUCUAAAAGGAAUUCUCCAUCUCUGAAAGGAUCCUUUCAGAAUUCG